rnacentral:rRNA from 1 species
GACAAACGCUGGCGGGGUGCGUGAGACAUGCAAGUCGAACGGGGUUGGUCGGGCUUGCUCGACCAACCUAGUGGCGGACGGCUGAGUAGCGCGUAGGUGACCUGCCCGGAAGUGGGGAAUAACUGCCCGAAAGGGUGGCUAAUACCGCAUGUGGUCGGCGAUUCGCUUCGCCGUCUAAAGCCGCAAGGCGCUUCCGGAGGGGCCUGCGUCCGAUUAGCUAGUUGGUGGGGUAACGGCUCACCAAGGCGACGAUCGGUAGCUGGUCUGAGAGGAUGAU